rnacentral:lncRNA from 1 species
AUUAGGAUUAUUUUGGAUGAUGGUCAUGCAAGCAAUUGUACUAUAUAAUACCGUCAGGCGUCAUAGUCGCCAACUCCCUAGAGCCCCACAUAGGAAUUGGGAUUUUGAAAGAGAAAUGACACUUACACGGAUGUUUGGUAUGAGUGAUAGAAUUUGUCAUGAUCUAUUGAGGAUGAAGAUAGCUCCGUUUCAAAGCUUAUGUGCUCGUUUACGAACAUAUGGCUUGGUUGACAAUAGAUCUGUCAAAGUAGAGGAACAGGUGGCUAUAUUUCUCAACACCGUUGGACAUGACCACCGUAAUCGAACUGGAAGUUUUACGUUCUUUAGGUCUGGUCAAACAGUGAGUUACUAUUUCCAUAGAGUUUUACAGGCUUGCCUUGGAUUGUACAGAGAUGUUGUUAACAAUGCCACUAUUCAUAACUCACCACACCAAAAGGAUAAGGUGAAGCCAUGGUUCCAAUAUUUUCAGGUCGGGUGGUAACAUUUAACUUCGUUCAUUUUCCCUUCACUAUCAGUAUUCCGUUUAUAACCGGACUUUUUGGUUUUCAUAUCAGGAUUCUGUGGGGGCAAUCGACGGUACUCACAUUCCUGCAAAUGUCCCCAUAGAGGAACAAGCAAGGUAUCGCAAUAGGAAGCAAAUGAUAACUCAGAAUGUUUUGGUGGCUUGCACAUUUGAUAUGAAGUUCACGUAUGUGCUUGCCGGUUGGGAGGGAUCUGCCCACGACGGUCGGUUAUUAAGGAGCGCAACUUUACGACAAGGUCAUAGGCUAACAAUUCCUGUUGGUAAGAUGUACAUCUUGUUCGAUAAUUUAUCUUUCACUUCUUUCAAUAACGAACGACAACUUAACAACCAUGUGUGGAAUAGGUAAAUAUUAUCUGGCCGAUGCUGGAUUUCCAUUGGUUCCGGGAUUUCUUGCACCCUACCGUCGGACUCGGUACCAUCGUAGAGACAUUGAGGGACAUCGGCCUGAAAGCAAGAAAGAGCUGUUUAAUUUUCGGCAUUCAUGUCUACGAAAUGUUGUGGAGAGGAUUAUUGGUCUGCUUAAAAAAAGAUUCGCAUAUCUGAGACAUCAACCAUAUCACGACAUUGAUACACAAGCAAGGAUUGUUCUUGCUUGUUGUGCUAUUCACAACUUUUUAAGGAUUUAUGAUGCAGAGGAUCUUUGUGAAGAGGACUAUUGCAGUAGUGAUGAUGAGGUUAACCCUGGACAUGUUGAUGCACCCGAAGAUGACACACAAAAUGCACCUAUAUCUUUCACAACAGAAGCUGCAUGGUGUAGUAAUAGGGAUACAAUGGCUGAAGACAUGUGGGCCGCUUACCAUCCAAGUCAUGAUGCGGAAAUUGACUUCGAUUGAAUAUACCAUGUUGUAUUUCAUUAUUCGUAUUUCCCUGUAAUAGUUGGAGAAUAACUUG